AUUUAAUUUGGAGCACAUAUGUAUGACAUAUGUAACAUCAUCAAAUAGUUACCUGAUGCUCAUCAAAACGGUUGGAACAAAAUAAACCAAUAACUUCAAGCACCUGUCGUAAUGAUGUCUGUUUAAACUAAAUUGAUUCACAUCUGUUGUGGUGUUCAUGUUCUUCACGGAGCAAAUAUGGUCCUUCAAUAUCAAAUACAUGGAUGCAGCAAGUGUAUGAGAACUGAUUCAGGCUUUUGUUACUCACCUCUUAUGGUAGUAACAUUGUCUUGCUUAGAAGUCAUCCUUAUGAAGAGAUUUCAAAGGUCUUGAACACUAGUGGGAAUUGAGCCUUGUGUCUUGACUCACAGCCCUCGCUCUAACUGAUUAACCUAAACAGCAAAGGAAUGCUCUCGCCUAUAUCACAUAUCUCUUCAGAAUUUGUCUGCAUAGUCUGUUUCAGCAAACCCUGUGACACUUACAGAAGCCUACAAUGAUGUGGCUAUG